rnacentral:lncRNA from 1 species
AACACACUUUUUUCCACCAAAAUCCCAUUUUUUCCCCUCAAAUUCCCAUUUUUUCCCCCUCCUCAAUGCCGGGGUGUCUCCGGGGGUCCCCAGAGCUGCCUGAGCGCCGCCUUUCCCCCUUCCCAGCGUUUCUGCAGCUCCUCCUGCCCCCGCCCCUUUGGGGCCAAUUCCGCCCCUUUUGGGCCAAUUCCAGCCAUUUUUGGGUGUUUUGAUCCCAUUUUGGGCCAAUUCCAGCCAUUUUUGGGUGUUCUGAUCCCAUUUUGGGGCAAUUCCACCAUUUUUGGGUGUUUUGAUCCAUUUUUGGGCCAAUUCCAGCCAUUUUUGGGUCAAUUACAGCCAUUUUUGGGUGUUUUGAUCCCAUUUUGGGACAAUUCCAGCCAUUUUUGGGUCAAUUCCAGCCAUUUUUGGGGGUUUCGAUCCUAUUUUUGGGUGUUUUGAUCCCAUUUUGGGCCAAUUCCAGCCAUUUUUGGGCAAAUUUCAUCUAUUUUUGGGGCAAUUCCAGCCAUUUUUGGGUGUUUUGAGCCCAUUUUGGGACAAUUCUAUCAAUUUUUGGGUAUUUUGAUCCCAUUUUUGGGUGUUUUGAUCCCAUUUUUGGGCCAAUUUCAUUUUGGGUAUUUUGAUCCCAUUUUUGGGUGUUUUGAUCCCAUUUUUGGGCCAAUUUCACCCAUUUUUGGGACUUUCCCAUCCAUUUUUAGGUGUUCUGGUCCCGUUUUUUGCCAUUUCCAGCACACAACACACAGUUUUUUCCACCAAAAUCCCAUUUUUUCGCACCAAAAUCCCAUUUUUUCGCACCAAAAUUCCACUUUUAUCCCAUUUUUUUCCCCCUCCUCAAUGCCGGGGUGUCUCCGGGGGUCCCCAGAGCUGCCUGAGCGCCGCCUUUCCCCCUUCCCAGCGUUUCUGCAGCUCCUCCUGGUCGCGGCCCAGGCGUUUCCGAAGUUUGCGGGCGAAGUUGGAGCCGCGGCUGCGGAGGUCGGCGGCGCUCAGCUCCAGCAGCGCCCGCGCCUCGGCUCCGUACUCGGCCAGCCGGGACCGGGCC